GGGAGAGAGAAUUAAUGGUUUACUGUUGACCAGCGUUUCUCUGGACCCAAGGUGGGGAAAUUACAAAAAGAUCACAUCACAUUCCUUUGAUCUUAUGAUUUCCACACAGGCAAGUGCAGAUCGUCAAAUGGGAGAGUUCAGAGCGUUGAAAGGACUUGCUCAAGGUGGGAGCUGGUGGUGCAAAAAGGGAGCAAUCCCAGUGCAACACCUUUCACAUAGUGCCUACCACGUACCCGCCCCAGGUCCCACACGGAGGUGCAGAGAGGCGGAGGAAACUGCACAGGUAUGGGGAGCCCCGAACCUGGGUGACAGUAGGGAGACAGAAGGUGGCCGAGUCAAGAGAUGUUGAAGAGAUGGAACAGAAAAUUUUCCAUCCCACAUCCUGAAAGACAAGGAGCUUGUGAUUUACGCCUGGCACUCAUCUAAAAGAGGUAGAACUGAUAAAAGUGGAGAUGUCCUCCCCCUGUGGUGACUGUUGGUCAGUAAUGGGGGUGACAAGAAGAGAGACUCAUGGGAAAGCAAGGAGGAAUGUGUUAAGAUAUAAAACGACAGCUUCUAGAUGACUAAAGGGGAAAAAAUCAGGAUAAGGCAGCCAAGGGGGGCUGUUGGGCUUCAGCACUCGGAGAUCUUGGAGAGGAGAGACCCCUGAGUUUUUCCCUGUUCAUCUGGGGAGGACAAGUUCCCACAGAGCCCUCCUCUACUGGGCAAAGAGUCGCCCCGGAGAGCCCCUUGUGGCCACAUCCUAGUACUGCAGGUUGGCGCUUGAAUGAGCGGAGCCAGGACUGAGGAUGUCCCAGUCACCCUUUGUCACCCCACACUUAGCCUAAUGCCAGAGGUCUGAGAUGAAGGAGGUGAGGGGGUCUUGGUAACGAGAAUGUGCCUCAUCCAAGCUGCAUGGAUCCAUGCCCCUGCACUGGAGUCGCAGAAUGGGGAGCGGCUGCAAGAAAGGUCCCCUGGGAGGCUGGAGAACAGGAGUGGGGUGGAGUUAGUGUCAGGGUCCCUCUGCAGCCUGAAAGUCACUUGAGAAACAAUUGUUGAGCACCUACUAGUGGCAAGAUAGGAGAUCAAGGACCAUGAAGACGUCCGCAUGUGCGGGCACACACACCCCAGUAAGACAAAUCAUAGUGUAGUGGUGGCCUUGGCUGUACAUAGAAAGAGGCAUCCUAGAGAAGGGGAGGUCUGAGCAGAGAGAUGACAGGUUGAGCACUCCUGGCAGAGGGAGUGGCAUGAUGGAGAAAGAGAAUGAGAUGGAGGACAAGUGCAGCGUGCCCAGGUAUAAUGUGCCUAGGGGAUAGAGGGGGUGUGGCAAGUGGGGAGAGGGAUGAGAGUAUGGUGGGAAAUGAGGCUGGAAGGAGAGAUGAGGCCACGACACAGAGGAGAGACUCAGAAUGCUGCAUAACCUCCCUGAGCCCCAUGGUCUUCGUUACUGCAAAUGGGACGUGGAAUCCAGGAAUGAGAGGAGGAAGGAGAAAAGGACCACUCUGAGAGAGGACAGGAGAGAGGAAGGCAGCCCCAGAAGCAAGAGCCUAUUCUUCUGACCCUAAACUGAGAUAUGCUGAGUAACUGCAAAAGGUAACUUGAGAACGGCUGCUCCUGGCUAUUAAGGUCAUAGUCCAGCAAACCCUUAACACGUGCCCCAAAAAAGACCUUAAGACCAACUUCCCAGGGAUUCCGGGACCACCUCACCACUUGCCCGAGAGGAGAACACCCAAACUGAACCCUCCAUCUCCAGGCACAUGUUAAACUACAUUUUCCAGCCCUCUUGCUUUGAGGCUGGCCAUGUCACUGAGUUCUGGCAAUGAAACGGGCACAGAAGUGAUUUUUGUCACUUUCAGGCCUGAUCCAUAAAAACCUCGAUCCGUCAUCCCCUUUUCCAUCAUCCCUAUCUGGAUGACCCAGGGCACCACGAAGCCAUGUGAUGAAGAUGGGGAGAGCUUGGUCCCUGAAUGAUUACAUGGAGCAGAGCACCCUUCACCCUGCCCGCUGCCACCUACACUGAACUAUGACUUGGAUGAAAUAAACCUUCCCUGUGUUAAUCCGCUGGAUCUUGAGCAUCUACCCCACUCUGGACCACGAAGAUGAGGACCACACUUUGGAAAGGAUCGAUCAGAAAGUCGGAAGGAUCUUGGGUCUGGGUGACUCCCUGACUGGCCUACCUCUG
rnacentral:lncRNA from 1 species